rnacentral:rRNA from 2 species
CAGGUGUUGCAUGGCUGUCGUCAGCUCGUGUCGUGAGAUGUUGGGUUAAGUCCCGCAACGAGCGCAACCCUCAUCCUUAGUUACCAUCGGGUUAUGCCGGGGACUUUAAGGAAACUGCCAGUGAUAAACUGGAGGAAGGCGGGGAUGAUGUCAAGUCAUCAUGGCCCUUAUGGAGUGGGCUACACACGUGCUACAAUGGUGAUUACAGUGGGCUGCAAGGUCGCAAGGCCAAGCCAAUCCCUAAAAAUCAUCUCAGUUCGGAUUGUUCUCUGCAACUCGAGAGCAUGAAGUUGGAAUCGCUAGUAAUCGUGGAUCAGCAUGCCACGGUGAAUACGUUCUCGGGUCUUGUACACACUGCCCGUCACGCCAUGGGAAUUG